UACGUAGGGAGCAAGCGUUGUUCGGAUUUACUGGGCGUAAAGGGCGCGUAGGCGGCGCGACAAGUCACUUGUGAAAUCUCCGGGCUUAACUCGGAACGGUCAAGUGAAACUGUCAUGCUAGAGUGCAGAAGGGGCAACUGGAAUUCUCGGUGUAGCGGUGAAAUGCGUAGAUAUCGAGAGGAACACCUGCGGCGAAGGCGGGUUGCUGGGCUGACACUGACGCUGAAGUGCGAAAGCUAGGGGGAGCGAACGGGG
rnacentral:rRNA from 1 species